UGAGACAAGGUUCUCUCUGAGAUCUGGAUAGACCUCCACUCUGCUGCUGUUGUUUAGAAGAACUUCAACAUCUGGCUUUUUACCCAGGCCUAUGGCAAGAAAGAACGGAAUUGCAAAAAAUGAAAGCUCUAAAUUCUCAGCCCUGGUAUUCAGUGAAUAUCCGCCCAUCUCAACAUGUGACUCUGGUUAGCUUUAUCAUUCAUAAAAUCACAGAACUGUGGAGUUGGAAGAGACCACAAG